GUACCUGCCCUGCCACACAAUCUGUCUUCCUGCUUUCAGCUCUCUCUCUCUCCCGGCAGGGGGAGGGGGUGAUAGCUCAGUCUGCAGGCUCUCCUGGUCGGCUUAUGGGCUUAUGCAUUUGUUUAGAUCUGUGCCACAGUCUGGGACACCAUCCUGGAUUAUUGUUUAACUCCAUGCUUGUAAUUCCCAGUGCUUGACUGGCAAAGAUUCCCUGUUCUGUGGAUUGCUGAGGCUUUGGGGGAAGUGCUGUAUCUGGACUGGGGUGCCAGAGGGGGAGCCUCCGACUCACCAGUUAGAUGCACUUUCUGGGUGAAGCAGCACCCCUGCCUGCCUCGGUCUGCCCUGUCUGGGCAUUGUUCACCGUCCAACCAGACCCGUUGCAAUGCACCUGGUACCUUGGUUGGAGCUCGGAGAUCUCUCGAUUUCUGUGUCUCUCUCACUGGGUGUUGGGUACAAGAGUUGUGUCUAUUUAGCCAUCUUCUGGGUUUUAUUCUUG